rnacentral:lncRNA from 1 species
AGAAUGAAGAGGGCAAGAGUACAAGCAGAGAGGUGAAUGUAGUUGUCCAAGCAACAGAUGAGGGUGGCUUGGACAAGGCCAGUGGUAUAGAGACUGUGAAGAGAGAAGCAGAUGAUACUGGGGGAUUAGACAUCAAGUUAAAGAAAAGAACUGCUGACGGUGGUAAGACGGCAAAGGAAAAUCGGCACAGGGCCGGUACCAGUGCCACCUCCAAGAAGAGGAAUAAGAGCACAAGCAAGCACAAGCAUUUUGCAAGAGAAUUUUGUGAACCUGGCGUCAGUAUUCACAACACAACACAAAAAACACCAGCCAACUGCAACCAUUUUGGACGAAAGGGGGCCCCUGAAGCCGGAUCAACAGGGAGAAACUCUCAGAGGCAAUAUUUAUAGCUUGGUUAAAGUUGUACUUGUGGAAAACAGAAGAACGCUUCUCUACGUCUGUCCUCACCAGAGAUUCUACACGUGACCGGCAGCACUUUCUUCCGCUUUAUUUGGUGUGUAUAAAGACACAGUUCUGAAAGGGCCGGCCUUUUUCUGUUUGGACUUUGAGGUACAAAGACACUGUUGCUAUACUCCUGAAGAAAGACCCUUCUUUUUUUCAAAGACCCUUCUGACGAAGAUUUUUUUUUUUUUCUACCAGCAGCUGAGACAAUUGAGCCAACAUUUAUUUUUUAAUGAAAAUCACCUCCUCUUCAAAAAUGGGCCCCACGUGGCUCAUUCCUUUUUGAAGUUCUCUUUGAUUCUAAAGCUGAAAACGCACAGAACGAAUGUUCUUCUACCAAAAUGAAUUUGGCGGUAGGGAUUUACUACAAGGCCCCCUGACAAUGAUGAAGAGCCAUAUUCUAAACAUUCAGUCUCAGUUACUGAAGGUCACCUGUUAAAUGGAUGAAGCCUAAUUCUAUCCCACUUAGAAGCAAAACAACCAACACCUGCUUUGGGUCAACAGCAAGGGCUGUUUCCAGACCGAGCCCAAAAUAUCGCACUCAGAUAAAGUCAGACGCCAGUAGUUACUGACAUUCAGAAGAGCAUUUCAGAGGCUCUGACGAUCUGAAUUCACACACACAGCAAGCUUACCUUUAUCCAUCAUACUCUGUGAGAAAGAAAGUUUGUUUUUCUAAGUGAGAGGGCUUUACAUGUACCAAAAAGUUGCAAAAAU